UACAUAGGUCCCGAGCGUUGUUCGGAUUCACUGGGCGUAAAGGGUGCGCAGGUGGCUUGGCAAGUUUGAUGUGAAAGCUCAGGGCUUAACCCUGAAAUGGCAUUGAAUACUGUUGAGCUGGAGGUUUGGAGGGGGGACUGGAAUUCUUGGUGUAGCAGUGAAAUGCGUAGAUAUCAAGAGGAACACCAGUGGCGAAGGCGGCUCACUGGCCCGGUACUGACGCUGAGGUGCGAAAGCGUGGGGAGCAAACAGG
rnacentral:rRNA from 1 species